UACGAAGGGGGCUAGCGUUGUUCGGAAUUACUGGGCGUAAAGCGUGCGUAGACGGCUAUCUAAGUCGGGUGUGAAAGCCCCGGGCUCAACCUGGGAAUUGCAUUCGAGACUGAAUAGCUAGGGUACGGUAGAGGGAAGUGGAAUUUCCGGUGUAGCGGUGAAAUGCGUAGAUAUCGGAAGGAACAUCAGUGGCGAAAGCGACUUCCUGGACCAGUACCGACGUCAGGCACGAAAGCGUGGGGAGCAAACAGG
rnacentral:rRNA from 1 species